rnacentral:rRNA from 1 species
UUGGAGGGCAAGUCUGGUGCCAGCAGCCGCGGUAAUUCCAACUCCAAUAGCGUAUAUUAAAGUUGUUGCAGUUAAAAAGCUCGUAGUUGAAUUUCGGGGUUCUACCGUUGGUCGGGCUUUGUCUGUACUGGUGUGUAGAAUUUCUACCUUCUGGGGAACCAUCAUGCUAUUAAUUUAGCGUGGUGGGAAACCAGGACCUUUACCUUGAAAAAAUUAGUGUGUUCAAAGCAGGCUUAUGUCUGAAUACAUUAGCGUGGAAUAAUAGAAUAGGACGGUGGUCCUGUUUUGUUGGUUUCUGAAUCACCGUAAUGAUUAAUAGGGAUAGUUGGGGGCAUUAGUAUUCAAUUGUCAGAGGUGAAAUUCUUGGAUUUAUUGAAGACUAACUUCUGCGAAAGCAUUUGCCAAGGAUGUUUUCAUUAAUCAAGAACGAAAGUUAGGGGAUCGAAGACGAUCAGAUACCGUCGUAGUCUUAACCAUAAACUAUGCCGACUAGGGAUCGGACGAUGUUAAUUUUUUAAUGACUCGUUCGGCGCCUUACGGGAAAC